GCUGCCAGAAAAAUAAAGGAUGCCAAGUUAAAUCUGAAUUUCAGAUAAACAAAUCAUCUUGUAGUGUAAGGAUGUUCCACUGUUUAUCUGAGCAUCUUGUAUUUUUUAUUUGCUAAGUCUGACAACUCUCUACCUCUGCUGGCCCAAUACAAGAGGUGGAAAGAAGUCCACGCUGGAGUGAAAUUACAGAGCUCCAAAAAGCGAAGCAGCAGAACCAACAAUCACACGGACUCGCUGUGUCCGGACUCUAUUUUAAGAGGCUUGCCGCUGUGAACGCAUGGAUCCCCACAGCAAUCUACGCGCACUCAGCACCUGUGCUUCCAGACAAAGGGGGCUCUGCCCCGGCCUGCGUGGUAGACAACCCAUUUCUCUCCAGCGCUGAAAGCCAGAGACUAUGCUUCUCAGUCUCAUGGGAAACUUUUGUUUCAUUCCCUUUUAAUUUUGGAAACUGGCCAAACAAGGAGGAAUUCUGGGAAAGACAGCAUCUGGGAGGUGUACGUGCCCUUUUGGGAAAUACUGCCUUAAAGACAUGCGUCUGUUCCUUUGCAGCCAAACGUGAGACAGAGGCUGCAAGCAUCUAGAAGACGACGCAGCUACUGCUCAGUGGAGGGCCACCAAUACCAUCUGUGACUGGCACCCUGGCAGAAAAUUGAAGUUGGGCAAGCCGAUUUAGGUCAAACUUUAGCAACAAUUUACACAGAAAAGCCCAAUUAGAGCCUCUGCCAAUGGCUCUGUGCCACAGGGAUAAGGGGAAAAGAAGGAGAAUGGCUCAGGCACAAUUUCUUUUGGCUCUUCCUGUGGGAUAGUAACUUUUCUCUGAGUUCCACAAUGCUUUUUCUUCUAAACUACAGAGACAAGGCCUAUGUUGCCCAGGCUGGUCUUAAACUCCUGGGCUCACAUGAUCCUCCUGCCUUAGCCUCCCAUGUGCUGGGACUACAGGCCACCAUGUCCAGC
rnacentral:lncRNA from 1 species